rnacentral:lncRNA from 1 species
GGCUAUUUUGCUGUUUUAGUUGCUGUGAAAUCAUUAUUGGGCUGUCAUUUCGAUAAGAUAAUUCGAUAUCCAGAACAUCCGGAUGAUUUGAUUCUGACUGGUAGAUCUUGGUCACAUGUCCAAACAUCAUUGGAUCGUAGCUGUUCACGUGGAUAAUGGUGAGAUGGCAUGAUCUAGGAACAUGUGCAUCGAACCGUCCAACC